rnacentral:lncRNA from 1 species
AUGGAGAAUCUUGCGCUGGCUGGUCCUCCUGGGCCUGUGGAGACACAGCAGCUGCUGCCACUGCUUGUUCCUGUUCCUGGUAGAAUUGAGAAGCUCAUCUGUCUUCUUCCUCUUGGUGACAUCGUGAAGGCAGUGGGGAACUGCAGCUACAACCAGCUGGUAGAGAAGAUCAUCUGCUGUAAGCAGUCGGAAGACAGCCAACUGGCCAGUGAAGGCUUUGUAGCUGAGCAGUUUCUAAACAAUACAGCCACUCAACUGACAUACCAUGGAUUAUGUGAACUAACUUCAACCGUUCAGGAAGGAGAACUCUGUGUGUUCUUUCGGAAUAAUCAUUUUAGCACCAUGACCAAGUACAAGGACUAUCUGAUGGCAUUAUCUCUACAACAAGAACAGCAGAACCAAGAGAUCAAUUGGGAACAAAUCCCAGAAGGAAUCAGUGAUUUGGAGCUAGCAAAGUACGAUUCUUUUUCAUAAGAUUUUGUAUCCGUCAGCUUUUCUAUUGGAAGGACAAAAAUACUUGAUACAGCUUAAAGGAGAAGUUUAACGUGACUCCAAUUCAGAGGUUUCUGUCCACUGGU